rnacentral:rRNA from 1 species
UACGUAGGGGGCAAGCGUUAUCCGGAUUUACUGGGUGUAAAGGGAGCGUAGACGGCAGAGCAAGUCUGAAGUGAAAGCCCGCGGCCCAACUGCGGGACUGCUUUGGAAACUGCCCGGCUAGAGUGCUGGAGAGGUAAGCGGAAUUCCAUGUGUAGCGGUGAAAUGCGUAGAUAUAUGGAGGAACACCAGUGGCGAAAGCGGCUCUCUGGCCUGUAACUGACACUGAGGCUCGAAAGCGUGGGGAGCAAACAGG